AGCAGCCGCGGUAAUUCCAGCUCCAAUAGCGUAUAUUAAAGUUGUUGCAGUUAAAAAGCUCGUAGUUGAAUUUCGGGGUUAGUAGGUUGGUCAUGCCUCUGGUAUGUACUGGUCUCACUGAUUCCUCCUUCCUGAUGAACCGUAAUGCCAUUAAUUUGGUGUUGCGGGGAAUUUGGACUGUUACUUUGAAAAAAUUAGAGUGUUUAAAGCAAGCUAACGCUUGAAUACAUUAGCAUGGAAUAAUGAAAUAGGACGUUCGAUCCUAUUUUGUUGGUUUCUAGGAUUGACGUAAUGAUUAAUAGGGAUAGUUGGGGGCAUUAGUAUUCAAUUGUCAGAGGUGAAAUUCUUGGAUUUAUUGAAGACUAACUACUGCGAAAGCAUUUGCCAAGGAUGUUUUCAUUAAUCAAGAACGAAAGUUAGGGGAUCGAAGACGAUCAGAUACCGUCGUAGUCUUAACCAUAAACUAUGCCGACUAGGAUCGGAUGAUGUUAAUUUUUUAAUGUACU
rnacentral:rRNA from 1 species